UUUUUUGACCUGCCCUCUUUUUUCCUCUGACGGACCUCCUCUCCAGCCAUAUCGUGUUUCUCCUCUGAGUUCUGUUCCUAAAGACAAGGGCAGCCAUGGCCACAGGGCAGAAAUCAAAUUUUGACACACCACCAGUUCAUCGUGGCGCUCACAUUGCUAGGUGUACCUAGCCGACCUAACAUGCACAUCUUUGGGAUACAGAAGAAACCCCACAUGGACACGGCAACAACAUGUGCAGUCCACACAGACACCCAGAGAGCCAGCAAUUGAAUUGGGGUCCCUGAGGCUGUGGGCCACCACCACCUACUCAAAGCAUCAUGAUGCUC